CCCUUAGAUGUUCUGGGCCGCACGCGCGCUACACUGACUACUUCAACGAGUUGUUUCCUUGAUCGAAAGGUCUGGGUAAUCUUUGAAAGGUAGUCGUGAUGGGGAUAGAUCCUUGCAAUUUUUGAUCUUCAACGAGGAAUUCCUAGUAAACGCAAGUCAUCAGCUUGCAUUGAUUACGUCCCUGCCCUUUGUACACACCGCCCGUCGCACCUACCGAUUGAAUGGUCCGGUGAAUCUUUAGGACUGUGGCUGAGGCCUUGCCUUGUGCGGGUCUGGCCGUGGGAAGUUAGUUAAACCUUACCAUUUAGAGGAAGGUGAAGUCGUAACA
rnacentral:rRNA from 1 species